rnacentral:rRNA from 1 species
UUCCGCGGGACGGGGGCCGCCCCGCGAGGGGACGGCGCCGCCCCGGGGCUCGUGAUAUCUCAUCUCGCCGCCCGUCGCGAGGCGGACGAGGGAUGGAUGAGGUUACCUGGAAAAAAUCGGGGCGAUCUAGGCGGGCGAACCUCGCCAACGAACGAUCGGACAUGGGAUAACGGAAGAGGGCGUCGGCUCGACUUCGUCGGUUCCUCGGGCCGAGGCACGUACGGUGAAUAGGGACGGUCGGGGCCGCCCGUACCGGGUCGUGAGAGGUGAAAUUCUAGGAUCGACCCGAGACGAACCGCCGCGAAAGCAUUCGGCAAGGACGCUUUCAUUAAUCAAGAACGAAAGUCGGGGGGAUCGAAGACGAUCAGAUACCGUCGUAGUCCCGACCGUAAACGAUGCC